AUAUUGCACCCUACCUAUUUAGUAUUUGUUCAAUACCAUUUAUCAUAAGAAUAGAGUCGAUAGGAGAAAGUACAUUUCGAAUAUUUCAUAAAGGUCCUAAAUAUUUUUUAAAAGUAGAAUUCCAUACAAGAAAUUGAUGAGAGUACCGAAGGUUUCAGUUAUCCUGCCUCUCACUUUGUUACGUGUUUUACUUUUUAUAAACACACACUUUUUACAGGGAAUACUUUAUUAUCGCAACCUACCUAUUAAGUAUUUGUUUAAUACCAUUUAUCAUAAGAGCAGAGUCGAUAGGAGAAAGUACAUUUCGAAUAUUUCAUAAAGGUCCUAAAUAUUUUUUAAAAGUAGAAUUCCAUACAAGAAAUUGAUGAGAGUACCGAAGGUUUCAGUUAUCCUGCCUUUCACUUUGUUAC